rnacentral:rRNA from 1 species
CACGCCGUAAACGUUGAGAACUAAGUGUUGGGGAGACCCAGUGCUGAAGCUAACGCAUUAAGUUCUCCGCCUGAGGAGUACGCACGCAAGUGUAAAACUUAAAGGAAUUGGCGGGGGCCCGCACAAGCAGUGGAGCAUGUGGUUUAAUUCGAGGCUACGCGAAGAACCUUACCAGGGCUUGACAGGAAACUUAAGACCCUAGAGAUAGGGGGAUAAUAAGUGAAACAGGUGG